AAGUCGUAACAAGGUUUCCGUAGGUGAACCUGCGGAAGGAUCAUUCAUAAUAAGUGUUUUAUGGCACUUUUUAAAUCCAUAUCCACCUUGUGUGCACCGAAAACAAAAUAUUUUGUGAAAGUCCUUUUGGUCGUUGCAUAAAGAUUUAUCUUAUCACGACCAAAAGGCAACUUUCUCAUUCUUGUUUUUUUAACGCGUCUGAAAACCAAAAAAAAAGUCUGAAAAAUUUCAAUGAAAUGAAAAUUAUAAUAAUAUAAAAACAACUUUCAGCAACGGAUCUCUAGGCUCUU
rnacentral:misc_RNA from 1 species